GAGAAGGCGUAAGGUCAGCCGGACGGGGGGAGUCUGAUCAGUGACCUCAGCAUGGCCUUUGGGAAGGGACGAGGCCGGCCCACUAUCCCCCUAGCUUAAACAUGCCCAGCCUGGGACCGGCACUAUUCACAAUAGCCAAGACAUGGAAAACAAUCUAAAUGUCCAUCAGCAGAUGAAUGGAUUCAGAAGAUGUGGUACCUAUGCACAACAGAAUACCAUUCAUCCAUAAAGGACAACAUAAUGCCAUUUGCAGCAACAUGGUUGGAACUAGAGAUUCUCAUAGUAAGUGAAGUAAGUCAGAAAAGAGAGACAAAUACCAUAUGCUAUCACUUACAUAUGGAGUCUAAAAUAUGGCACAGAUGAAUCUAUCUCUAGAACAGAAACAGACUCUCAGACAUAGAGAACAGACUUGUGGUUGCCAAGGGGGAGGGCGAGGGAGUGGGAUGGACUGAGAGUUUGGGAUUAGUAGAUGCACAAUAUUACGUGUAGAAUGGAUAAGCAAUGAAAUCCUGCUGUAUAGCACAGGGAACUAUAUCCAAUCACUUGUGAUGGAACAUGAUGGAGGAUAAUAAGAGAAAAAGAGUGUAUAUAUACGUGUGUGUGUGAGAGAGAGAGAGAGAGAGAGAGAGAGAAACUGGGUUGCUCUGUUGUACAGCAGAAAUUGAUAGAACGUUGUAAAUCAACUGUAAUACAAUUUUAAAGACUUAUUGAGGGAAACAUCUCAAUUAGCUGAAAUUUGGUAGAAGGAGGGUGGUUUCUCUUUUACUCAAAAGUUAAAGUUUUAGACGUGGUCUAUCAAUCCCCACACACACCCUCCCUAAACUACUCAUCUAUUUCUCUGACCUCACUUCCUACUAUUCUCCCCACUAUCAACACCCCGCAGAUAUCUGUGUGGCUCUGGCUCCACUUUCUUGAAGUCUUUGCCCAAAAUUUAUUUCCUCAGCGAGGCUACCCUAUGUAAAGCUGGCCCUUCCAAUCACUUCAUUUGCUCUUUCCCCCCAUAGCACAUGUUGACCUUCUAACAGAUCUGUAUAAUUUACUCACAUAUUAUCUUUAUUGUUCAUGUCUUCCUAGAAUAUAAGCACCACAAGGGCAGGAAUUUUGCUAUUCUGUUCAAUUUACUAAUGUGAAACAAACAGAACGGUGUUGGCAAAUAUGUUCAAUAGAUGCAUAUUGAGUGAAUGAGUACAUAUCUACAUAUGGUCAUGUGUUCUAAGUUACUUAUAAGGAAAGACCUAUAUAAAGAGAAGUUUGCAUAAUGGUUAAACACUCAGAUUUGGGGGAGUUCCCUGGUUGCCUAGUGGUUAAGGACUCAGCAUUAUCAUUGCUGUGGCUCAAGUUUGACCCCCUGGCCUGGAAACUUCCACAUGCUGUGGGCACAGGCCAAAAAAAAAAAAAAAAAAAAA
rnacentral:lncRNA from 1 species